UACGUAGGUCGCAAGCGUUGUCCGGAUUUACUGGGCGUAAAGAGCGCGCAGGCGGCUGGUCAAGUCCGAUGUGAAAUCUCCCGGCUCAACUGGGAAACUGCAUCGGAAACUGAUCGGCUUGAAGAUGGGAGAGGGUAGUGGAAUUCCCGGUGUAGUGGUGAAAUGCGUAGAUAUCGGGAGGAACACCAGUGGCGAAGGCGGCGACCUGGGCCAAUAUUGGACGCUGAGGUGCGAAAGCGUGGGGAGCAAACAGG
rnacentral:rRNA from 1 species